rnacentral:rRNA from 1 species
CCUACGGGUGGCAGCAGUGGGGAAUAUUGCACAAUGGGGGAAACCCUGAUGCAGCGACGCCGCGUGAGUGAAGAAGUCCUUCGUUAUGUAAAGCUCUAUCAGCAGGGAAGAAAAUGACGGUACCUGAGUACGCAGCCCCGGCUCCCUACGUGCCAGCCGCCGCGGUAAUACGUAGGGGGCAAGCGUUAUCCGGAUUUACUGGGUGUAAAGGGGGCGUAGACGGCAGUGCAAGUCUGGAGUGAAAGGCGGGGGCUCAACCCCCGGACUGCUCUGGAAACUGUACGGCUGGAGUGCAGGAGAGGUAAGUGGAAUUCCUAGUGUAGCGGUGAAAUGCGUAGAUAUAUGGAAGAACACCAGUGGCGAAGGCGGCUCGCUGGGCUGCAACUGACGCUGAGGCUCGAAAGCAUGGGUAGCGAACAGGAUUAGAUACCCGAGUAGUC